UACCAGCACCCCGAGUGGUCGGGACGAUUAUUGGGCCUACAGCAUCCGUAGCCGGUUCUACAAGUCUUCCGUUAAAUCCACCUGCUUAACAGAUGGGCUGCGGAGGAUACUAUGGAGCUAGGAGGCGGGAGAGGCAAGCGGUACUUAGUGGGUAGGGGUAAAAUCCGUUGAUCCAUUGAAGACCACCAGUGGCGAAGGCGGCUUGCCAGAACGCACUCGACGGUGAGGGAUGAAAGCUGGGGGAGCAAACCGG
rnacentral:rRNA from 1 species